rnacentral:tRNA from 1 species
GUUUUAAUAGUUUAAAAAAAAUAAUGAUCUUGUAAAUCAUAGUUAAAAAAUUUUUUUAAAACU